rnacentral:pre_miRNA from 1 species
CACAUACUCUCUCUGUCCGAUAAAAUUUGUUUCAAACUUGUUUCUUAAAUGGAUGUAUCUAGCACUAAUUUGGUGUUAGAUACACCCAUUUGAGGGGACAAACUCUGUCGGACAGAGGGGGUAUGCA